rnacentral:rRNA from 1 species
GAACGCGAAGAACCUUACCAGGUCUUGACAUUGAUGGACAGAACUAGAGAUAGUUCCUCUUCUUCGGAAGCCAGAAAACAGGUGGUGCACGGUUGUCGUCAGCUCGUGUCGUGAGAUGUUGGGUUAAGUCCCGCAACGAGCGCAACCCCUAUCUUAUGUUGCCAGCACUUCGGGUGGGAACUCAUGAGAGACUGCCGCAGACAAUGCGGAGGAAGGCGGGGACGACGUCAAAUCAUCAUGCCCCUUAUGACCUGGGCUACACACGUACUACAAUGGGAGUUAAUAGACGGAAGCGAAACCGCGAGGUGGAGCAAACCCGAGAAACACUCUCUCAGUUCGGAUCGUAGGCUGCAACUCGCCUACGUGAAGUCGGAAUCGCUAGUAAUCGCAGGUCAGCAUACUGCGGUGAAUACGUUCCCGGGUCUUGUACACACC